rnacentral:rRNA from 1 species
GCUCCCUGAUGUUAGCGGCGGACGGGUGAGUAACACGUGGGUAACCUGCCUGUAAGACUGGGAUAACUCCGGGAAACCGGGGCUAAUACCGGAUGGUUGUUUGAACCGCAUGGUUCAAACAUAAAAGGUGGCUUCGGCUACCACUUACAGAUGGACCCGCGGCGCAUUAGCUAGUUGGUGAGGUAACGGCUCACCAAGGCGACGAUGCGUAGCCGACCUGAGAGGGUGAUCGGCCACACUGGGACUGAGACACGGCCCAGACUCCUACGGGAGGCAGCAGUAGGGAAUCUUCCGCAAUGGACGAAAGUCUGACGGAGCAACGCCGCGUGAGUGAUGAAGGUUUUCGGAUCGUAAAGCUCUGUUGUUAGGGAAGAACAAGUGCCGUUCGAAUAGGGCGGUACCUUGACGGUACCUAACCAGAAAGCCACGGCUAACUACGUGCCAGCAGCCGCGGUAAUACGUAGGUGGCAAGCGUUGUCCGGAAUUAUUGGGCGUAAAGGGCUCGCAGGCGGUUUCUUAAGUCUGAUGUGAAAGCCCCCGGCUCAACCGGGGAGGGUCAUUGGAAACUGGGGAACUUGAGUGCAGAAGAGGAGAGUGGAAUUCCACGUGUAGCGGUGAAAUGCGUAGAGAUGUGGAGGAACACCAGUGGCGAAGGCGACUCUCUGGUCUGUAACUGACGCUGAGGAGCGAAAGCGUGGGGAGCGAACAGGAUUAGAUACCCUGGUAGUCCACGCCGUAAACGAUGAGUGCUAAGUGUUAGGGGGUUUCCGCCCCUUAGUGCUGCAGCUAACGCAUUAAGCACUCCGCCUGGGGAGUACGGUCGCAAGACUGAAACUCAAAGGAAUUGACGGGGGCCCGCACAAGCGGUGGAGCAUGUGGUUUAAUUCGAAGCAACGCGAAGAACCUUACCAGGUCUUGACAUCCUCUGACAAUCCUAGAGAUAGGACGUCCCCUUCGGGGGCAGAGUGACAGGUGGUGCAUGGUUGUCGUCAGCUCGUGUCGUGAGAUGUUGGGUUAAGUCCCGCAACGAGCGCAACCCUUGAUCUUAGUUGCCAGCAUUCAGUUGGGCACUCUAAGGUGACUGCCGGUGACAAACCGGAGGAAGGUGGGGAUGACGUCAAAUCAUCAUGCCCCUUAUGACCUGGGCUACACACGUGCUACAAUGGACAGAACAAAGGGCAGCGAAACCGCGAGGUUAAGCCAAUCCCACAAAUCUGUUCUCAGUUCGGAUCGCAGUCUGCAACUCGACUGCGUGAAGCUGGAAUCGCUAG